UGUGCCUCGCUUGCGUUUCCUUUCUUGAAAACUCGGCGCUCGCUACUUUCCUGUCGAGAAUGCUCCGUCACACUGAUAACGCGCAUGCCGUUUGUAACUGGGAAGUACUGGGCUCGCAGAUUUAAAGAAAGGAAACGCGGGCAAGACGGAUGAAGAUUAUCGUUGUGGGACAAGAUAAGCCCCAAAGGGUGUAAAUUUUUCUAGGAGUGUAGAGUGUAGGCAAAGUCACACCCUUUGGGGUGUAUCUCUGCCACACAACGAUAAUCGUCGUCUGCCUUGCUUGCGUUUCCUUUCUUUAAAACGCCGCGCCCGCUACUUUCCUGUCGGGAAUGCUAUGUCAUGCUGAUAACGCGCAUGCCGUUCGUUGCUCGAAAGUACCGGUCUCGCCACGUUAAAGAAAGCAGAUGUGGACAAGACAGAUCACGAUUAUCGUUCUGUGGCAAACGGGUGUAAUUUUGCUUAAGAGUGUAGUCUGUGGUCAUCCCGCGACCGGUUCCAAUCCAGUUUCAGAGAGCGCGCCGGGUCCCGGGCCGGUUCCAGAUCUACUUCAGCCGCAACAGGAUAAUCGUCGUCUGCCUUGCUUGCGUUUCCUUUCUUUAAAACGCCACGCCCGCUACUUUCCUGUCGGGAAUGCUAUGUCAUGCUGAUAACGCGCAUGCCGUUCGUUACUGGAAAUUACCGGGCUCGCCACGUUAAAGAAAGCAGAUGAGGACAAGACAGAUGACCAUUAUCGUUGUGUGGCAAAAGGGUGUAAUUUUGCUUAAGAGUGCAUUCUGUGGUCAUCCCGCGGCCGGUUCCAAUCCAGUUUCAGAGAGCGCGCCGGGCCCCGGCCCGUUCCAGAUCUACCUCAG
rnacentral:lncRNA from 1 species